AAAGCUCAAAUUUAAAAUCUGGCGGUCUUUGGCUGUCCGAGUUGUAAUCUAGAGAAGUGUUAUCCGCGCUGGACCGUGUACAAGUCUCCUGGAAUGGAGCGUCAUAGAGGGUGAGAAUCCCGUCUUUGACACGGACUGCCAGGGCUUUGUGAUGCGCUCUCAAAGAGUCGAGUUGUUUGGGAAUGCAGCUCAAAAUGGGUGGUAAAUUCCAUCUAAAGCUAAAUAUUGGCGAGAGACCGNUNGCGAA
rnacentral:rRNA from 1 species